GUUGGAGCUUCCCGGCUGCUUUGUUUACCUAAUCAAGCCCGGGCAAUGGCGGGCGCCCCUCCCGCAGCCUCGCUGCCGCCUUGCAGUUGGAUCUCAGACUGCUGUGCUAGCAAUCAGCGAGACUCCGUGGGCGUAGGACCCUCCGAGCCAGGUGUGGGAUAUAAUCUCGUGGUGCGCCGUUUUUUAAGCGGGUCUGAAAAACGCAAUAUUCGGGUGGGAGUGACUCGAUUUUCCAGGUGCGUCCGUCACCCCUUUCUUUGACUCAGAAAGGGAACUCCCUGACCCCUUGCGCUUCCCAAGUGAGGCAAUGCCUCGCCCUGCUUCGGCUCGCGCACCCACUGACCUGCGCCCACUGUCUGGCACUCCCUAGUGAGAUGAACCCGGUACCUCAGAUGGAAAUGCAGAAAUCACCCGUCUUCUGCGUCGCUCACGCUGGGAGCUGUAGACCGGAGCUGUUCCUAUUCGGCCAUCUUGGCUCCUCCGCCUCAGAGGUAUUAUCGCUUCAGUUCCAGAUCACCACAGUAAAUACUGCAAUACACCAGGUGCAAGUUGAUAAAAGAAUUCUGGAAAUUGAAGGCCAAGGAAGAGUGACUCAAAAAUAAGAAGCAGGCUGAAAAAUGAGAUGAGGAGACCGAGGCUCGGAGAGGCUUAUGCAUUUGCCCAAGACUCUACAACUCCACAACUUAACAGGCAAUUGCAUCUAGCAUAUAAUGUGUUGGUUAUCCCCAGAACACAGAGCAGUGCAUCUCCACAGCGAGAAUUCCAGAACAGGGUAAUCAUCAAGAAUCAAAUGGCUUGGAUCUGGUCUCUUCUCUUUGAGGAAGCAAGCAGGCAUGGAGGUGAGUCAGGCCAUUGGAAGAUUUCCUGUGGCUGAUGAAGAAUCCAACUCCAGGUUGCUCUUCUUUGAAGAGGAUUCCAGAAAUGCUUAGGGGCUGCUUGUUUGGACUGUAGGAGCUUAGCUGAGCACCAAGCACCAGCAGGAAUCAGAGAAUGGUGGCUUCCAUCCUCUGCGCACAGCAGCAAGGAAGAUAUAUUGUUGUUUAUAAUUGCACUCCUGUGUCCUUACAGGCCACUUCCUCUUUCUCUCUCUCUGUGAUCUCAGGCAUGUUGUGUGCUUCCAGCUCAAGCCGGCUCUGUGUUUUAGGCCAACCAACACAAUUCAUAUAACAUCCUUGCACAUUUCCACCAUUUCCCGCCUCACCAUGCCUCAGAGGACUACAGGCUCCCCAAGACGGGACAUGGUUGGGCAGGUACCGGAUAGAUGCUGUCACUGCUGAAAAAGAAAAAAAUAUCCAAAGUAUUCACGUUGUACCUGCUGAGUGCCAGUACUGCAUGCUCUGGGGAUUCCAUUCCUGCCCCUAUGGAAGAGGGGUCAACUUUUCCAAAACAUCAUCUUCUAGAGGAAGAAGCUGAAGCCCAGCAAGGAAAAGUAACAUAACGAAGAUCUCAGCAGAAUGACGGUUAUCUGAGCAUCUAUAUUCUGGGGUUGCAAAAAGAACAAGAACGUAGGGUUCAAUGGACCUGAGUUCCAGGCCUCACUCUGUCACCAGCUGACUGUAAGAAGCCCACCCACCUCCACCUUCUCUAGAUCACAUGUUUUAUGGCCGCCUCAAAGGCGUGAAGCAGGUGAGUCGUGCUGCCUCUGCCAACAUCUGCUUUGUGAGCCUGGGAGUAUUUCACGGAGAUGUUUCUCUCGACAGGUUUAUGGCUGGUCUUGGCUCAGUGCCUUGAAAACACUGAUCAUGUGAUGAAACGAGAAUGUCAUGCUGCGGGCCAUCAAUAAACCACACUGGCAUUCCCGCUCCCACCCCGACACCACUCCACCCAUGCAAUUUCCCUCCCCUUCAGCCUCCUCCCUCCCCACCUCCCAAAGAUAUCCAGACCAGGCCAACUCAUUAGGAAGUGACAUCCACCAGGAUUCUUGGCCCCAGUCAAAAGAGUGGCCAGAGCUUGUCUGCUGCUUGCGGAUACUUUUCUGUUUUGUGUUAAACGUUUGAGUUUGGAAAUGAGCAAGAGCUAUGUCUAAGGGAAACCAGACAGCUUGUUUGAAAAUCCACUAAAUGGCCAUCGGAGGAUCAUGCCAGAUCUUAGAACAAAGUCUCAGUUAUUGCCUGAAAGCAUAAACUUUCAGGCAAGGCAUCUUCUCCAUGCUCCUCAGCAUCUGCAGAGUAGCAGAGACUUGAAAGAGAUGUGUCCUCUGGAUCCCACGUCAGAUGAUACAUCUUGGGAUUUCCCUACCUGGGGGAAGAGUGGGUUUUCCUGAGGAAAUUGCAAGUGGGCCUGAGUUUCUAGAGUGUGAGGUGAAAUGGAUGCCACUGUACUGAAUUCUGACCAAAACUCUGGAGAGAUGCUGCGAAGGAACUCAGCUUCCACUGAAAGGGUCAGUGAAGGCUUCAAGGACAGUAUCACAGCACUUUCCUAUCACUUCUAUAAAAAUCACAUCCACUUUUUCCCACCAACUUGCCCAUUCUCCUUGUCUGGGACACAGGCCCUGGUACUUUACAUUCAGGUCAUUUCCAAGGGAUAGAGAGAAAUAGACAGAGGCUGAAAGAGUGAUGGGGCCGGGAGACGCUGAGAUCAUUCAACUACCAAUGCCAUUCUGAACUAAGACUUUUUUUUUUUUUUUUUUUUUUUUUUUUUUUGAGAUGGAGUCUCGCUCUGUCACCCAGGCUGGAGUGCAGUGGCAUGAUCUUGGCUCACUGCAAGCUCUCCCUCCUGGGUUCACACCAUUCUCCUGCCUCAGCCUCCCAAGUAGCUGGGACUACAGGCACCUGCCACCAAAGACUUUCUUAAACCACACUCUCUCCCUGCCAAGAAAAUGGGUAUCAUGUCCUUCAUAACCCAUCCUGAAAAAAUGAAACCGACAUGAUGGCAGAGUGGUAUGAAAAAGACUCUGAAUUUGGAAUUGAGGGACAAGAGCUCAACUGCCAACUCUCUUUAUUCCCCCUGGGACAUUGGGCAACUUAAUCUACUUCUCAGUGAGUUGAUCUGUCACUUGGGUCUAAUAAUACAACUUCUUACGACUACUUUUUAAAGCAAAUAAAAAGAUAUAUUUGAGAGAAUGCUUUAUUAAUUGCAAAACACUGCCCAAAUUUCAGUCAUUAUUAUUUCCUGUCUGUCUAUUUUCCAUCUAUCUGCAUCCUGUUGACGUAACAAGGUAGCUAUCUUCCAUAUGGUCUGUCUCCCAUUUAGAUUGUAAGCCUUUUGAAGGAGGGCUGGUAUUUACUUUUGCAUAAUUGGUACUCAAUAAAAGUUUUUGAAUGAA